rnacentral:rRNA from 1 species
GACGAACGCUGGCGGCGUGCCUAAUACAUGCAAGUCGAGCGGAACUGGGGGAGCUUGCUCCUUCCAGUUUAGCGGCGGACGGGUGAGUAACACGUGGGCAACCUGCCCUGCAGAUCGGGAUAACUCCGGGAAACCGGUGCUAAUACCGAAUAGUUUGGCGCCUCUCCUGAGGCGCUACGGAAAGACGGUUUCGGCUGUCACUGCAGGCUGGGCACGCGGCGCAUUAGCUAGUUGGUGGGGUAACGGCCCACCAAGGCGACGAUGCGUAGCCGACCUGAGAGGGUGACCGGCCACACUGGGACUGAGACACGGCCCAGACUCCUACGGGAGGCAGCAGUAGGGAAUCUUCCGCAAUGGACGCAAGUCUGACGGAGCAACGCCGCGUGAGUGACGAAGGUUUUCGGAUCGUAAAACUCUGUUGUGAGGGAAGAACACGUACCAACUAACUAUUGGUACCUUGACGGUACCUCACCAGAAAGCCACGGCUAACUACGUGCCAGCCGCCGCGGUAA